rfam:Hordeum vulgare subsp. vulgare, WGS project CAJW01000000 data, contig: morex_contig_1627947
UUACUACUCCCUCCGUCCAGAAAUACUUGUCCUAUAAAUAUAUAUAAUGGAUGUAUCUAUAACUAAAAUAAGUCUAGAUUCAUCCAUUUUUAGGACAAGCAUUUCCGAACAGAGGAAGUAUUAU